rnacentral:rRNA from 1 species
UACGUAGGGGGCGAGCGUUGUCCGGAUUUACUGGGCGUAAAGGGUGAGUAGGCGGUUAUUUAAGUCAGAUGUAAAAGGCUAUGGCUCAACUAUAGUAAGCAUUUGAAACUGGGUAACUUGAGUGCAGGAGAGGUAAGUGGAAUUCCUAGUGUAGCGGUGAAAUGCGUAGAUAUUAGGAGGAACACCAGUGGCGAAGGCGAACUUACGUGGACUGUAACUGACGCUGAGUCACGAAAGCGUGGGUAGCAAACAGG